UACAGAGACUGCAAGCGUUAUUCGGAUUCACUGGGCGUAAAGGGUGCGCAGGCGGUUGUGUGUGUCAGGUGUGAAAGCCCGGGGCUUAACCCCGGAAUUGCGCCUGAAACUACAUGACUAGAGCAUUGGAGAGGGUAGCGGAAUUCACGGUGUAGCAGUGAAAUGCGUAGAUAUCGUGAGGAACACCAGAGGCGAAGGCGGCCACCUGGACAGACACUGACGCUGAGAAGCGAAAGCGUGGGGAGCAAACAGG
rnacentral:rRNA from 1 species